AAGCAGCGAAACCAGAAUUAGUACCCAGGUCCUUCUGACUCCCAGGCCCACUCAUUCCAGUGACGAGAAACAUGGCGGAGGUCAGUGUGAGGAGGAUGGAGGAGGAGAAGGGAGAGUCACGGAAGUCCGAGUGAAAGUGGCGACUGACUCUGUCCUGAUCAUGACCCGGCAGCAGCUUCCCCUGGCUCCUCUCCUUGGCCCGGCUCCCGAAAACACAGAACUGCUGGUUUAUUCAUCGACGAGAGAGGAGGCAGAUGGGAUCCGCGGCAGCGUCGAAAACACAAGGGCCUUGGCUGGUCGUCAUGGCAACUGCAGGCUGGAGGGGUUCAGGCCCACCUCCUUCAGGAAGCUUUCCCCGAUUCACCCCACCAGCCCGGAAGGUGAGAUAAAGCACUCCAGGCAGCCGUGUAUCUCUACGGGUGUGAACCGUCCUGAUGAAGGCCCCAGUCAGUGGAAUGAAUCGAUCCCCAGUGUGGUCUGAUCUCCCCCCAGCCUGAAUCCCUGGAGGUUCGAGAUAAAGUCGGACUGAAGAGGAAGAGGGCUGUGAAAUCAGGAUCCUCUCCACUCAUCGGGGAGAAGAGCCUCAAGUGUUCCCUCUGGCAGGGAGGGGAUAGGCCAGAGCUGGAUUUUGAGGGUGCCGGACCCCACUUUUCUCUGGGGCAGAAGCUGGUCACGGUCAAACACUGAGGUCACCAGUCCUGGGCAUAUGUUAUCGCUGUUCUCUUUGUCUACACAAUUUAUAAUAGGAAUCGCUGCUUACUAAUUAGCAGCCGGAUCCAUUAAUUGGCUAUUUGUUAGAGUCUGAAUUAAUAAAGCAGUCUUUCAGCAGGUCAUAACUCUCCCCCAUUCCCACUCCUUCCCAGCCGUCCAGAAAAGUGACUAGCUCUGGCAGUGAAUCAAUACCUGCCACUGUAUCAUUUUCAAAUACAAUUUCCCCAUGUA